rfam:Arabidopsis thaliana chromosome 3, complete sequence.
GGAUGCGAUUAUACCAGCAUUAAUGCACUGGAUCCCAUCAGAAAUCUGUAGUUAAGCGUGCUUGGGCGAGAGUUGUACUAGGAUGGGUGACCUCCAGGAAAGUCCUCGUGUUGCAUUCC